CCUACGGGAGGCAGCAGUGAGGAAUAUUGGUCAAUGGGCGGAAGCCUGAACCAGCCAAGUAGCGUGCAGGCUGACGGCCCUACGGGUUGUAAACUGCUUUUAUACGGGAAUAACGCGCCUUACGUGUAGGGCUUUGCAUGUACCGUAUGAAUAAGGACCGGCUAAAUCCGUGCCAGGAGCCGCGGUAAUACGGAAGGUCCGGGCGUUAUCCGGAUUUAUUGGGGUUAAAGGGAGCGUAGGCCGCAUGUUAAGGUUGUUGUGAAAUGUCCGGGCUCAACCCGGGCCUUGCAGCGCGAACUGGCGUGCUUGAGUCCGCGGAAGGCAGGCGGAAUUCGUCGUGUAGCGGUGAAAUGCUUAGAUAUGACGAAGAACCCCGAUUGCGAAGGCAGCUUGCUGCAGCGGAACUGACGCUGAUGCUCGAAAGCGCGGGUAUCGAACAGGAUUAGAUACCCCAGUAGUC
rnacentral:rRNA from 1 species